AAAUUGAAGAGUUUGAUCAUGGCUCAGAUUGAACGCUGGCGGCAGGCCUAACACAUGCAAGUCGAACGGUAACAGGAAGCAGCUUGCUGCUUUGCUGACGAGUGGCGGACGGGUGAGUAAUGUCUGGGAAACUGCCUGAUGGAGGGGGAUAACUACUGGAAACGGUGGCUAAUACCGCAUAACGUCGCAAGACCAAAGAGGGGGACCUUCGGGCCUCUUGCCAUCAGAUGUGCCCAGAUGGGAUUAGCUUGUUGGUGAGGUAACGGCUCACCAAGGCGACGAUCCCUAGCUGGUCUGAGAGGAUGACCAGCCACACUGGAACUGAGACACGGUCCAGACUCCUACGGGAGGCAGCAGUGGGGAAUAUUGCACAAUGGGCGCAAGCCUGAUGCAGCCAUGCCGCGUGUAUGAAGAAGGCCUUCGGGUUGUAAAGUACUUUCAGCGGGGAGGAAGGUGUUGUGGUUAAUAACCGCAGCAAUUGACGUUACCCGCAGAAGAAGCACCGGCUAACUCCGUGCCAGCAGCCGCGGUAAUACGGAGGGUGCAAGCGUUAAUCGGAAUUACUGGGCGUAAAGCGCACGCAGGCGGUCUGUCAAGUCGGAUGUGAAAUCCCCGGGCUCAACCUGGGAACUGCAUUCGAAACUGGCAGGCUUGAGUCUUGUAGAGGGGGGUAGAAUUCCAGGUGUAGCGGUGAAAUGCGUAGAGAUCUGGAGGAAUACCGGUGGCGAAGGCGGCCCCCUGGACAAAGACUGACGCUCAGGUGCGAAAGCGUGGGGAGCAAACAGGAUUAGAUACCCUGGUAGUCCACGCCGUAAACGAUGUCUACUUGGAGGUUGUGCCCUUGAGGCGUGGCUUCCGGAGCUAACGCGUUAAGUAGACCGCCUGGGGAGUACGGCCGCAAGGUUAAAACUCAAAUGAAUUGACGGGGGCCCGCACAAGCGGUGGAGCAUGUGGUUUAAUUCGAUGCAACGCGAAGAACCUUACCUGGUCUUGACAUCCACAGAACUUUCCAGAGAUGGACUGGUGCCUUCGGGAACUGUGAGACAGGUGCUGCAUGGCUGUCGUCAGCUCGUGUUGUGAAAUGUUGGGUUAAGUCCCGCAACGAGCGCAACCCUUAUCCUUUGUUGCCAGCGGUCCGGCCGGGAACUCAAAGGAGACUGCCAGUGAUAAACUGGAGGAAGGUGGGGAUGACGUCAAGUCAUCAUGGCCCUUACGACCAGGGCUACACACGUGCUACAAUGGCGCAUACAAAGAGAAGCGACCUCGCGAGAGCAAGCGGACCUCAUAAAGUGCGUCGUAGUCCGGAUUGGAGUCUGCAACUCGACUCCAUGAAGUCGGAAUCGCUAGUAAUCGUGGAUCAGAAUGCCACGGUGAAUACGUUCCCGGGCCUUGUACACACCGCCCGUCACACCAUGGGAGUGGGUUGCAAAAGAAGUAGGUAGCUUAACCUUCGGGAGGGCGCUUACCACUUUGUGAUUCAUGACUGGGGUGAAGUCGUAACAAGGUAACCGUAGGGGAACCUGCGGUUGGAUCACCUCCUUACCUUAAAGAAGC
rnacentral:rRNA from 3 species